GAUCUGGCUCAGGAUGAACGCUAGCUACAGGCUUAACACAUGCAAGUCGAGGGGAAACGACAUCGAAAGCUUGCUUUUGAUGGGCGUCGACCGGCGUACGGGUGAGUAACGCGUAUCCAACCUGCCCAUCACUUGGGGAUAACCUUGCGAAAGUAAGACUAAUACCCAAUGACGUCUCUAGAAGACAUCUGAAAGGGAUUAAAGAUUUAUCGGUGAUGGAUGGGGAUGCGUCUGAUUAG
rnacentral:rRNA from 1 species